rnacentral:lncRNA from 1 species
AUGGGAGAGGUUGCCGAGAGCAGGGCUGGCAACCUGUUGGGUCCCUGGCAGGUACAAAGAGAAGGAGGGAGGGGGCCGGAGGGGUGCUGGGUGUUGGGGGGAGGAGUGAGUACUUCCCAGCGGGGCUCAUAGCGCUGCCAGAUUCAGUGGAUAGAAAUGCAGGAUGAGGAGUUCCCUUGUGGCUCAGUGGGUUAAGAACCCGACUAGCAUAUGUGAGGAUCUAUGAGGAUUCGGGUUCAAUCCCUGGCCUUGCUCAGUGGGUUAAGGAUGCAGUGUUGCUGCAAGAUGACGUGGCUUGGAUCUGGCGGUGCUGUGGCUCUGACGUAGGCAGCUGCAGCUCCAAUUCAACCCCUAGCUCCGGAAACAUCCAUAGGCCACAGGUGCAGCCGUAAAAAGAAAGAAAAAAGACAUGCAGGAUGCCCAGCUCAAUCUCAGCCUAGCCCCCAGCGUGGCCCAGAAGGACCUCCAACAGAUUAAGGUUUAAACAGAAGAGGACUGGACAAUCUCAACAGAUACAGAAAAGCCCUCCGCUGGCCUCCCCCCCAGGAGGACCCCACCAACAGGGUCCCACUGAAUAAUUACCCUCGGGAUGUGAUGGGCUGACACUGCCUCCUGACGUCGAGGCUGAGAAAGAUGCUCUUUUUCUAUCCCUCAAACGGUCAACUUUUUCGUUUGUUUUUGUUUGUUUUUGCUUUUUUUAAGGCCGCACCCCAGACACAUAGAGGUCCCCAGGCUAAGGGUUGCAUUGGAGCUACAGCUGCCUGCCUACACCACAGCCUCAGCAACGCCAGAUCCAAGUCGCGUCUGAGACCUACACCACAGCUCACAGCAAUGCCGGAUCCUUAACUCACUGAGCAAGGCCAGGGAUCGAACCUGUGGAUGCUAGUCAAAUGGGUUAACCGCUGAGCCAUGCCGGGAAUUCCUGGAUGGUCAAAUUUCCUCACUGCUCUUUCUUUUUCAAAGUCCUGUGUCUGCUUGGGGUGACCUCACGGUAAUUUUCCUAUGGAAGGAGGCUUCUGAGAGGAUAAGGACUCUGACACCUGUUUAGAGAGAGGGGUUCCUGAUUCUGGGGUCCGAGGAGGGCUUCCGAGGGUCUGGGGACCACCUGCAAUUGUCCAGCAAACAAUGCGUCCACGCACACGGAUAGGCAUCUAUUGUCCCCCAAGAAAGGGAGUCGCUAGUUUUCAGCAGAAGUUCAAGGGGAAACUGUAUCCCAGAGAAGAGUAGCAAAUGUUCACGGAGAAGCAGUGGAUACCCGAGGUCCCUGGCCUGGAGCUCAUGACCCCUUAGGGUCUAUGGAGACAAUUCAGGAAGCCCAGGAGCUGAGACCAGGUCAAUUUCGAUCUUUAGUUCAUAGCUAUUUCUCCACUCUAUUAAAACCAUUGCAGGUAUCUCGAAAUAUUCCUAGCACUCGUCAUUCCUCAGAAAUUACGGUGUCUCUAUCACAUCUUUCUGGACUCCACGUUGGUACUCCCCUCCUGUAAGGGAUAAAAACCCCUAUAGGACAAUGUGGGGUGGGGAGGGCUCUUCUUCCGCCUCCCAGCUGUCCUGGGAGCUGUUGCUUUCCUGUCAUAAAGACUUCGCUUGCUUAAAAAAAAAAAUCCAGAAAUCGCGGUGGUUUUAAACCAGCAACUAUGCUGUCUUUAAUGCAUUAAUAAAGAAGCUCAUAUACCC